rnacentral:rRNA from 1 species
UACAGAGGUCUCAAGCGUUGUUCGGAUUCAUUGGGCGUAAAGGGUGCGUAGGCGGCGCGGUAAGUCGGGUGUGAAAUCUUGGAGCUUAACUCCGAAACUGCAUUCGAUACUGCCGUGCUUGAGGACUGGAGAGGAGACUGGAAUUUACGGUGUAGCGGUGAAAUGCGUAGAUAUCUGGAGGAACACCGGUGGCGAAGGCGGCGUUCUGGACUGCAACUGACACUGAAAAACGAAAGCCAGGAGAGCAAACGGG